UUGUGACGGGCAAGUAUUACACGAUCAGCUCCUUUUGAACUCCCCCAGGGCGGGAACGAAGCAAGGGUAGAAAGUUGUAGCGAUGCGAUGUAAAGUGCUUGCCCAUUU
rfam:Pedobacter sp. PACM 27299, complete genome.